rnacentral:rRNA from 1 species
GACAGAGGGUGCAAACGUUGUUCGGAAUUACUGGGCGUAAAGGGCGCGUAGGCGGCCCUGUCAGUCGGGUGUGAAAGCCCGGGGCUCAACCCCGGAACGGCACCCGAGACGGCAGGGCUGGAGACCGGGAGAGGAGGGUGGAAUAGCCAGUGUAGAGGUGAAAUUCGUAGAUAUUGGCUGGAACACCGGUGGCGAAAGCGGCUCUCUGGCCCGGUUCUGACGCUGAGGCGCGAAAGCGUGGGGAGCAAACAGG